ACUCCAGACCGACCACAGUUUAACCAGCUACAUGUAAAAAGAAUUCAACACAACGGCAAACUGGUUUGUUACUUAAACCAGGAGGAACCUUUCACUCGCGUACAGAACAAGUUCGAUUAGACAUAUGGCAGCACAGAAGGUACCUAGUUUCCUCGACAACCUGUUACAAGAACGAUGAAGAACGAUGAUGAAUGCCACCACUGCAUAUCGGUCACAGUUUAACCAGUGACAUGUAGGAGUCAUCGCUACGGGAAACUGACUGUUACUUAAACGAGUACGAAUCCCCACACGGGUACAGAAAGAAACUUGAUGAGAGAUGGCAACUCAGAGAGUACCUGGUUUCCUCGCCCAAGUGUUACAAGGUUCAGUAAUUGCAGAACGGGCACAAUUUCGUGUCUUGGACCCGAAGUACGGAAAGCGGUACAACGUGAAGAUUAAGGAAAAACGUCCAGAGUGCCAUCAACCUUGUUUUAAGUGUUUGCUUAGGCAACUGCAUUUCAAGAAACGCAAUCACAGUUAUUGCCCACUCUUAGUGAAACCGAUUCCGAACCACUUAGGCCUACCCGUGAAACAUUUACCAACGAAAACUUGACUGAUAUAUCUGCCACUGAAGACAUGGGCGUCGCGAGGG